AUCGAUGAUGAGAUCCAACACUCAAAUUAGUCUGAUUUUCAUCAAAUAUUGUUAUUCCUCUUCACCCUCUCAACAGAUAUUGCUAUUUUUCUUCAACUUCUCAUCAGAUAUUGCUAUUGCUAUUUCUCUUCACCAAAUAUCGCUACUCCUUUUCACCUUCUCACUAGAUAUUGCUAUUUCUCUUCACCUUCUCACCAGAUAUUACUAUUUCUCUUCACUUUCUCUUCACCAGAUAUUGCUAUUUUUCUUCACCUUCCUACCAGAUAUUGCUAUUUCUCUUCACCUUCGCACCAGAUAUUGCUAUUUCUUUUCACCUUCUCUUUUUUUUGGAUUAGUAAAUGGUAAAUAU
rnacentral:lncRNA from 1 species